CUGGGCACAGAGAGUUGCAUACUCCUGGCCCAUUCUGAGAGGUCUGUCCUCAAACCUCCUCCCUAAAGCUGCCACCCUCCAAAUCAAGAUCAUUCCAAGUCACUGAUCAUCCAGUCCAGCCACCAGCCUUUACUCGUGAAUUGAGCAAGAAGACAGCCAUGUAUGAACCAAGAAACGGGCCCUCACCAGAACCUGACCAUGCUGGCACCUCGAUCUUGGACUUCCCAGCCUUCAGACCUGUGAGAAAUAAAUUUCUGCUGUUCAUAAGCCA
rnacentral:lncRNA from 1 species